rnacentral:lncRNA from 1 species
UACGGCUCAGCAGUCAAUUCUUUUUUUGUUCUAUUAUCUUGAAGUUAACUAAAAGAAAAAAAGAAGUUAUUUACAUAAGUUUCAAACUUGAAUUUGGACUAAUAAAGAAUUUCUUUUUAAGUUUUAUCUUUUCUCCUACCUUCAGAAAAGGGAAUAAAGCAUCGGCAUUAACACCCUCAUUAGAAUUUUCUGAAAAGUAACUAUCUCUAUUUUAUAUAUCAUAUACUUUAUAAUAUAU